rnacentral:rRNA from 1 species
CCGAGCGAACAGACGAGGAGCUUGCUCCUCUGAUGUUAGCGGCGGACGGGUGAGUAACACGUGGAUAACCUACCUAUAAGACUGGGAUAACUUCGGGAAACCGGAGCUAAUACCGGAUAACAUGUUGAACCGCAUGGUUCAACAGUGAAAGACGGUCUUGCUGUCACUUAUAGAUGGAUCCGCGCCGCAUUAGCUAGUUGGUAAGGUAACGGCUUACCAAGGCAACGAUGCGUAGCCGACCUGAGAGGGUGAUCGGCCACACUGGAACUGAGACACGGUCCAGACUCCUACGGGAGGCAGCAGUAGGGAAUCUUCCGCAAUGGGCGAAAGCCUGACGGAGCAACGCCGCGUGAGUGAAGAAGGUCUUCGGAUCGUAAAACUCUGUUAUUAGGGAAGAACAAAUGUGUAAGUAACUAUGCACGUCUUGACGGUACCUAAUCAGAAAGCCACGGCUAACUACGUGCCAGCAGCCGCGGUAAUACGUAGGUGGCAAGCGUUAUCCGGAAUUAUUGGGCGUAAAGCGCGCGUAGGCGGUUUUUUAAGUCUGAUGUGAAAGCCCACGGCUCAACCGUGGAGGGUCAUUGGAAAC